CAAAUACAUGUAUUUCAGAGGGAAACCAUUGAAAGAUUCUAGAAGUCGGAAGCCUUGUUUGUUGUAUGCUUAUUCUGGAUGAAAUAAACCUAAGGAAAAUCAUGGAGAAUUUUAAGGUAAGAGUAACAGCAUCAAAGAGGAAGAAUAGUCAUUUCCCAAGGCCUCAGGGUCCAUUGGAUAUGCAAUAACCUGGAAUAAGCAGAAAUAGUCCCAAUCAGGUGAAGAACUAGAAAAUUUGAAGAAAUGGAUCCAUGAUAAGGCUGCUUAUAGCUAUGAUAAUCUUUUCAUUAUGAAUUAAGGAAG